rnacentral:rRNA from 1 species
UAGGGAAUCUUCGGCAAUGGGGGCAACCCUGACCGAGCAACGCCGCGUGAGUGAAGAAGGUUUUCGGAUCGUAAAGCUCUGUUGUAAGAGAAGAACGUGUGUGAGAGUGGAAAGUUCACACAGUGACGGUAACUUACCAGAAAGGGACGGCUAACUACGUGCCAGCAGCCGCGGUAAUACGUAGGUCCCGAGCGUUGUCCGGAUUUAUUGGGCGUAAAGCGAGCGCAGGCGGUUUAAUAAGUCUGAAGUUAAAGGCAGUGGCUUAACCAUUGUUCGCUUUGGAAACUGUUAAACUUGAGUGCAGAAGGGGAGAGUGGAAUUCCAUGUGUAGCGGUGAAAUGCGUAGAUAUAUGGAGGAACACCAGUGGCGAAAGCGGCUCUCUGGUCUGUAACUGACGCUGAGGCUCGAAAGCGUGGGGAGCAAACAGG